UACGGAGGGUGCAAGCGUUAUCCGGAUUUACUGGGUUUAAAGGGUGCGUAGGUGGGUCUGUAAGUCAGUGGUGAAAUCUCCGAGCUUAACUUGGAAACUGCCAUUGAUACUAUAGGUCUUGAAUUAUCUGGAGGUAAGCGGAAUAUGUCAUGUAGCGGUGAAAUGCUUAGAUAUGACAUAGAACACCCAUUGCGAAGGCAGCUUACUACGGAUUGAUUGACACUGAGGCACGAAAGCUAGGGUAGCGAAAGGG
rnacentral:rRNA from 1 species